AUGUUUUUAGUAUAUGAAGUACACUUACCUUCCAAGUAAGAAGAUUAGAUAAUUAAAAAACAUA
rnacentral:tRNA from 1 species